UACGUAGGGUGCGAGCGUUGUCCGGAAUUACUGGGCGUAAAGAGCUCGUAGGUGGUUUGCUAAGUGGGAUGUGAAAUCCCCAGGCUUAACCUGGGAACUGCAUCCGAUACUGGAUGGCUUGAAUCCGGGAGAGGGAUGCAGAAUUCCAGGUGUAGCGGUGAAAUGCGUAGAUAUCUGGAGGAAUACCGGUGGCGAAGGCGGCAUCCUGGACCGGCAUUGACGCUGAUGAGCGAAAGCUAGGGGAGCAAACGGG
rnacentral:rRNA from 1 species